rnacentral:lncRNA from 1 species
CUUAAUCUGAGAAAGUGUGGUCGCAACUAGUUGUAAUUUUCCUAAGCCAGUAUAAUAAAAAUACAAUGGCUGAAGUUUUUGGAUGCAGGAUGGAGUGUGAUGAAGGAGUCCUUUGGAACACAGGUUCAUUUAUACAGCUCUGGUCUGUGUGAGUCAGACAAGUGGGAGACUUACAGCAAAACAAGAUCUCCAGAAGUGGCCACCUUUCUUCUACUCAGCCAAGAUCUCACAACCCAGACAGAAAGUUGA